AUCCUCAUAAAGCAAACGACUCACUUCAGAAGACUUGGAAUAGAGUAUAUGAAUCGUCUGGACUACUCUGAUUUUGUUUUUGGAGCUUGACACUUACAACGAUCAUCCAUAAAACCUCAUCGGGUUAGAGCGACAUCAAGGCGGCGUAAGCUGGCUUCACUUUCAGCAUAAUGCAUAGGAUCCCUAACAACAACAUGACUCUGGAUAGCAGUGGCCACAACACACUUUUAGACCUGUUUUAAUGGCACGAGAGUACAGAUCGAGCAGAUGAAAGACUCAGCAACACAUUUUCCAGCCUAACAGCAAACUCAAGAGGCCUACAAUGUGCAGGAAGUGCCGGAAGCAAGUGUCUCGCGACUUGUUUGAUAGAAAAUGUCUUUAGACUGCCCAACAGAAGCAGAGUUCAGGGACAUAGACAGCAGAAGAAAAUAAAUUUACACAGGUUUGGAACAACUUAAGGGUUAUUGGAUGCUUCGUUUAGAUCAGUGGUUCUCAAACCUGUCCUGGGGACCCCCCACCACUGCACAUUUUGCAUGUCUCCCUCAUCUAACACACCCAAUUCAACUCUUGCAGUCUCUACUAAUUAGCUGAUGACUUGAAUCAGGUGUGUUAGAUGAUGGGGGGUCCCCAGGACAGGUUUGAGAACCACUGGUUUAGAUGAACAUCACUGGGAUGCAUAUGCUGUUGUAAUUCCCUAUACCUCUUCAUGAGUUUUCUGUCAACACUCAAAAAUACAUCAACUGCACGCCACCCAGUGGUGUAAUGGUGUAAUGGUAAGGAGUGAAUAAAUCUGUGAACUAUUUUGAACAAAUCUUUUUAGUGAAUACAACAAGAGAAUGAUUCAAGUAAAAUGAAUCAAAAUCAACAUCACUAAUAUUUUAGCAUGCAGUGCUUAUGUGAACCAAAACAAAUUACUUGUGUAUGUGAGCAUACUUGGCCAAUAAAACUUUUUUUCUGAUUGUA